UGAGGAAUAUUGGUCAAUGGGGGCAACCCUGAACCAGCCAAGUCGCGUGAAGGAUGAAGGUCUUAUGGAUUGUAAACUUCUUUUACACGGGAAUAAAGUGGGGGACGUGUCCCCCUUUGCAUGUACCGUGUGAAUAAGGAUCGGCUAACUCCGUGCCAGCAGCCGCGGUAAUACGGAGGAUCCGAGCGUUAUCCGGAGUUAUUGGGUUUAAAGGGUGCGCAGGCGGGAUGUUAAGUCGGCGGUGAAAUUUUGCAGCUCAACUGUAAAAGUGCCUUCGAUACUGGCCUCCUUGAGUGUGGAUGAAGUAGGCGGAAUUUGUGGUGCAGCGGUGAAAUGCUUAGAUAUCACGAGGAACUCCGAUUGCGCAGGCAGCUUACUAAGCCACAACUGACGCUCAUGCACGAAGGCGUGGGGAUCAAACA
rnacentral:rRNA from 1 species